UACGGGGGGGGCAAGCGUUGUCCGGAAUUAUUGGGCGUAAAGAGCGCGUAGGCGGUCCGAUAAGUCGGCUGUGAAAGUCAGGGGCUCAACCCUUGGAAGCCGGCCGAUACUGUCGGACUAGAGUCCGGAAGAGGCGAGUGGAAUUCCCGGUGUAGCGGUGAAAUGCGCAGAUAUCGGGAGGAACACCAAUGGCGAAGGCAGCUCGCUGGGACGGUACUGACGCUGAGGCGCGAAAGCGUGGGGAGCGAACAGG
rnacentral:rRNA from 1 species